CCCGGGCUUCCGGAAGGGACUUCUGGGGAAGUGGGAGGGUGGAAACCGACAGGUUUAUGAAUUAUGCAUCAGGGUUCAUAAGCAGAACCAGGGGACUCAGGUAUCUUGCAAAGGCUUUAUUUGAAAAUUUUGAAACUUACAUCCCACAAGAAUUCAAGAUUAUCACCACAAGAAGAAAGAGAUAAUACAAAAAUAUAUAUCACAGCAUAGGAGCCAGCAGGCGCCUGGCAAGUUUAGUUCUAGUUCAAAAUCAGCUAAUGACCUGGACACCUGAGUCUAAUGAUUCUCUCAGUAAAGUGUGAAGGACUGAGCGACCCAUUAUUAAAUGCAUGCAAAGAGCUCUGGACUUUCUCCCUUCCCCCCUAGGCAGCCCCAGGAAGGAGCUGUGCAGAACAGCUUACCAGAACUUGAAGAUGAUGCCAGUGGCCACGAGA